UAGAGACAAGGACAUGGAGCAAUGGAUGCAAGCUACAGGAAAAGAGAUUCCAACUAAGCAUUAGGAAGAACUUCCUGCAGCGCAUCAUUUCUUCUCCGGAAAAGUCCAAAUCAAGGGACUCAAGGCAGCAAGUUGCCCUGCUCCGUACCAUCGUCUAAUGAUUUCACAUUCACCGAACCAUCCGAAAGCAAAGGCGUCACUCCCUCAGCCACCCGUGGACAAAGUUUGGGAAUAUUUGGGAUUUCCAAAUGCUGGAUAAAGGAGGCUCAAGCUGUAAAUACUUAAACUGUAUUUUUAAAAGUGGGUUAAUUGCCAAACUGGAGGGUGUCGGAGUUUCCUUCUUUGAAGCAGAGGUU